rnacentral:rRNA from 1 species
AUUGAACGCUGGCGGCAGGCCUAACACAUGCAAGUCGAACGAGUGGCGGACGGGUGAGUAAUGUCUGGGAAACUGCCCGAUGGAGGGGGAUAACUACUGGAAACAGUAGCUAAUCCCGCAUACCAUCGGAUGUGCCCAGAUGGGAUUAGCUAGUAGGUGGGGUAAAGGCUCACCUAGGCGACGAUCCCUAGCUGGUCUAAGAGGAUGACCAGCCACACUGGAACUAAGACACGGUCCAGACUCCGACGGGAGGCAGGAGUGGGGAAUAUUGCACAAUGGGCGCAAGCCUGAUGCAGCCAUGCCGAGUGUAUGAAGAAGGCCUUCGGGUUGUAAAGUACUUUCAGCGAGGAGGCGUUAGUCGCAGAAGAAGCACCGGCUAACUCCGUGCCAGCAGCCGCGGUAAUUC